ACGGGUACGGGGAUUAGGGUUCGAUUCCGGAGAGGGAGCCUGAGAAACGGCUACCACAUCCAAGGAAGGCAGCAGGCGCGCAAAUUACCCAAUCCCGACACGGGGAGGUAGUGACAAUAAAUAACAAUACGGGGCUCUUUCGGGUCUCGUAAUUGGAAUGAGUACAAUUUAAAUCCCUUAACGAGGAACAAUUGGAGGGCAAGUCUGGUGCCAGCAGCCGCGGUAAUUCCAGCUCCAAUAGCGUAUAUUAAAGUUGUUGCAGUUAAAAAGCUCGUAGUUGAAUUUCGGGAUUGACACAUCGGUCGUGCCUUAAGGGGUAUGAACUGGUGUAGUCAAUUUCUCACCUUCUGGAGAACCGCAAUGCCCUUAAUUGGGUGUCGCGGGGAACCAGGACCUUUACUUUGAAAAAAUUAGAGUGUUUAAAGCAGGCAUUUUGCUUGAAUACAUUAGCAUGGAAUAAUAAAAUAGGACGGCAUGAUUCUAUUUUGUUGGUUUCUAGGAUCACCGUAAUGAUUAAUAGGGAUAGUUGGGGGCAUUAGUAUUCAAUUGUCAGAGGUGAAAUUCUUGGAUUUAUUGAAGACUAACUACUGCGAAAGCAUUUGCCAAGGAUGUUUUCAUUAAUCAAGAACGAAAGUUAGGGGAUCGAAGACGAUCAGAUACCGUCGUAGUCUUAACCAUAAACUAUGCCGACUAGGAAUCAGACGAUGUUAAUUUUUUAAUGACUCGUUUGGCACCUUACGGGAAACCAAAUUUUUNGGGUUNNA
rnacentral:rRNA from 1 species